GAUGAAGAACGUAGCGAAAUGCGAUAAGUAACGUGAAUUGCAGAAUUCAGUGAAUCAUCGAAUCUUUGAACGCAUCUUGCGCUCCUUGGUAUUCCUUGGAGCAUGCCUGUUUGAGUAUCAUGAGCAAAUCUCAAAGUCAAUUCCUUUUGUUGAUUCAAUUGGUUUUGCUUUGGACUUGGAGGCCUUGCAGAUUUCACAGUCUGCUCCUCUUAAAUGCAUUAGCUGGAUCUCAGUAAUUAUGCUUGGUUCCACUCGGCGUGAUAAGUAUCACUCGCUGAGGACACUGUUAAAAAGGUGGCCAGGAAAAUACUGAUUGAACCGCUUCUAACGGUCUAUUAAGUUAGACAAUUACCCUUAAGUUUGAUCUCAAAUCAGGUAGGACUACCCGCUGAACUUAAGCAUAUCAAUAAGCGGAGGA
rnacentral:misc_RNA from 1 species